CCCUUAGAUGUCCUGGGCCGCACGCGUGCUACACUGACGCAUACAGCGAGUACUCCCGGCUCCGCAAUGGCAGCUGGUAAUCAUCAAUAUGCGUCGUGAUGGGGAUAGAUCUCUGGAAUUUUUGAUCUUGAACGAGGAAUGCCUAGUAAGCGCAGGUCAUCAGCCUGCGUUGAUUAAGUCCCUGCCCUUUGUACACACCGCCCGUCGCUCCUACCGACUUCGAGUGGUCCGGUGAACCUUUCGGACCGGGAGCAGCCUCGUGCUGCGCCUGGAAAGUCAAGUAAACCACAUCACUUAGAGGAAGGAGAAGUCGUAACA
rnacentral:rRNA from 1 species